UCAAGAGACGCUAGGAAGACAGUUAGCAAAAUGCAAUAAGAAAACUCAGUGGAGUGUUCAAGAAUCAGGCGUUUAGAGAGGAGGACACUGGAGGAGACACUUAGAAUUAAAGACCUGACAGACCAGAUACCAGGAUGAAGCAACAAAGCUGUGAGUAAUAUUAAGAAAGUCAGGACGCCCAGACAGCGUGGGAGAGCUUUCUGUGAACACGUUCAGAGGACUUUUAAAGGGAUUUGGAGAGUUUUUCUAUAAAAUGUCUCACAGAGAGAAGUCAUGACUGACAAAUCUGCUGUUUUUGAAAAGUACCUGAGUUGCCACCUGUUUUUAUAUGUAUUUAUGUUGUCACUCUGUUAAGUUACUGUUAAAGUUCAAAUCUAUAAAUACUCAGGAAUAAAACAUCAGUGGAUAUGUAGGUGUUAGGUGUUUAUUUAGACAUAAUAAGUGAAAUCAGAAAGGGUUAAAAAUGCUCUUCAUUCCUGUGUGUUUUCACACCAGGUUACCCUUAUAUGACCCCAGUUAGGCCGUCCCAGUCUAACAGUCUGGCUCCGCCCCUCUUCUGGAGGACUGUAACUGCAGGUUGAGUCAUGAGAACAGAUUAUUUUACCAGCUCACAUAAACCAGUAAAACCUCUGAAAUCCUACUGAAGCAGGAGUAUCAUUAGACGUUAGGGUCAAAGGUCGGGUAUUAAAGUCCACAGACAGGGUGAGUUAUUAUCAGCCGUACAAAGGAACAAUGAUUAUAAAUUACUGGUUCAAAAACAGCCGGAGACCAGAUCCACUGCAGCCUGUCCAGGAUGUCCUCAAGACCCCUGCAACCCCAAACGGGACGAGCUGUAGACAAAAAUGUCUUUAAUGCUCCGCGGCAUUUCACAGGGCCGUCUCCUCUAAUGUGACGGUCCAGGUCCAGAACCUCCUUCAUCUAAUACCAGACCCUCCUCCAUCUAAUACCAGACCCUCCUCCAUCCAAUACCAGACCCUCCUCCAUCUCAUACCAGACCCUCCUCCAUCUAAUACCAGACCCUCCUCCAUCUAA